rnacentral:antisense_RNA from 1 species
ACAGCCUAUCCGCCGUUCGGAGCCACCAUC